GGUCCGGCCCUGGCAGGCAGGUACUCCAGUCCCACCGCCGGCCGGCCUCCGUGCUCCGGCCACCGAUGCGUCCCCGUCGGCGUGCAACUCCAAGCCCAAGCCGCACCGACCGACCUCUCGCCGUCCUCCUCCCCCACGCGAAGUCUCCUCCCCUCGCUCCGGGGGGCCAUCAAGUGAGUGCAGCGGCAACGCCACUGACCACGUCCGCGAGCUCUGCUAUGACAAGCGCGUACAUUGAUCGAGGGUAGCCACGCCACCGCCAACGCCAACUCCGUCGACUACCAGUGCUCACCGUGCCUCAGGGGCAGGAAGAGGAUUCAGAGGAGGGAGGCGAGCUGGGCCAUAAGGGCAAGUUUCCACACACCACAUGUUCGAUGAAAUGCCCAACAAGGAGCCGACCCAUCAAUGUUGAAAAGUCGCCGUCUAAAGGGUUAUCCGAGAAGAUAUAGUAUCGUGAAUCUGGUCGAUGUGCUCUAAUACACCUUUAGAUUUUACCCCCUUCUGUACAGUAAUAUAUGCCAUUUUUGUGUAGUCUCAUAAGUUCCUUACAUAUAGGAGUUGUGUACUUAUCUGCUUAGGUUAUCUGUCAUCUUAACAUGGACAGGAUAGAAAUGGAGUGCUAUUAUUGCUCCAUGCUCCUGGCCGUAGUUAAAUGGAGCUGACGAUCCUGUAGCAUCUAACCAUUCAUUUCAUUUCUGUGGCAGCAGCCUAUUAGUCCACAUGCUUUCCCUACAGGUAUUAAGGAUAAUUUGACAUUCUGUACAACCAUAUAAUCUCGACCCAGUUGCUCACCAGGCUCAUAUAAUCUGUAUAUUGCCUUAGUUUCCUACCAAGUUCAUGAUAGAUUCUGAUUCUUGCUCCAAGACUUAUGUUGAAGUGUCUUCAUUUAACAGAUAGCUGCCAUGAAGGCUGCAAAUGAAGAGCUGAAAGGGAUGAUGAAGACUGUCAGGAUUGAAGACAUGGAUGUAUGCAGCAUCCUGUUGUUUACUACUCCCUCCGUCCGGAAAAGCUUGUCCCUCAUAUGGAUGUAUCUAGCACUAACUUGGUGCUAGAUACAUCCAUUUGAGAGACAAGCUUUUUCGGAAGGAGGGAGUAGAUUGUUUUCAAGAUAUAUGGACGUGAACAAUGUAAGACGAGAUGAUGGAUCUUAUGGAUGUGAGCAAUGUCCCAGAUGACAUCUAUGAGGAGGAGCCACUUCUAUUUGAAUUUCAUAAGCUUGAUGCUUUGAAAGCUGAUAUGGACUUCGAAUCAAACUCACUCCCACCGUACCUCCAACCAGACAAGGAGACCGAUCUUUAUUCUGAGCUUAACUAACCUGCUGCACCAAGUGAUCAUGCAGCAGUCCCGGCAAACCGGCAGCAGGAGGAUGAACUGGGACUGCCUGCAAUGCCGCAUGCAUCAAUUGGUACCUGAAAAGUAACAAAAAUGACUACGUUAUAGGUUUGAUCUCGUUGUAAAUAGUCGACGCUUUGUUUAUGCACGGACAAAUUCAUUGCAUCGCUCCUCAUAUACCACUGCAAUUCGUUGAACGAUGAGAUGUCUUUUCCCCAUUGUGUUGGAAUAAUAGUGAGCAAUAAAGUGAGUGUUAUGUAUACGGUUGUACAUCCUGUUGUUAGUAUGUCUCUGUUGAGUUGAAUUGGUAUCUGCUUUUCUGAUAAUGAAGUUAUGGGACAUUGCUGGCUCUCGUGCUGUCAGUCACGGCCUUUUCCUAUCAUCU